AGAGCGAACGCUGGCGGCAGGCCUAAUACAUGCAAGUCGAACGAGCCCUUCGGGGUUAGUGGCGGACGGGUGAGUAACACGUGGGAACGUGCCUUUUGGUUCGGAACAACUCAGGGAAACUUGAGCUAAUACCGAAUGUGCCCUUCGGGGAAGGAUUAUCGCCAUUAGAGCGGCCCGCGUCUGAUUAGCUAGUUGGUGAGGUAAAGGCCCACCAAGGCUACGAUCAGUAGCUGGUCUGAGAGGAUGAUCAGCCACACUGGGACUGAGACACGGCCCAGACUCCUACGGGAGGCAGCAGUAGGGAAUCUUGCGCAAUGGGCGAAAGCCUGACGCAGCCAUGCCGCGUGAAUGAUGAAGGUCUUAGGAUUGUAAAAUUCUUUCAGCGGGGACGAUAAUGACGGUACCCGCAGAAGAACGCCCCGGCUAACUUCGCGCCAGCAGCCGC
rnacentral:rRNA from 1 species